GGGAGGACCUGAGUUUUUCUUCACCCAUGGUCAGGGAGGCGCCAUCGCCCUGGCUUUGGGGCUGGGGCCUCCGGGGAGGUUCCAGUAGGGGCGUUGGAGAGGCCGCUCUUUUUGCAAGGCCCGAGAUGGCGGGCCCUGCGCAGGCCGCCCUAUUCCGCGCCCUCAGGGCGUCAGUAUCCGCCUGAGGCCGCAUACCCACUCUGGGCUCGGAUACCCCCGCAGGGCCCGGAGCAUCCUCGGCGCUGCCCUCCCAGAGCCCCGCAGAGGCUGAGGUGGCGCGGGGGCGGCCCCGGCUCCGCGAGAAGCGAUGGCAGCGAGGGCUGGAGGACCCGGGCUACGGGACUCCGGGGCGUCUGGCCUGGGUGGGACUGAGCCCAUCCAGGGACUGGGACUCCGGGGUUGUGGUGUAGGUGGAUCCGGGGCAGGCUCAGGACCAAGACCCUCUGCUUCCACCAAGGAGCGCCCAGAGGCCGGCGGCAGCUCCAGGUUCACCUCCUCCUUCUCCAG
rnacentral:sRNA from 1 species